ACCCCACAACACAUGAUAUAUAUCUAAUAAGAUUAAAAGUAAUUAUUUGGUUAAUCUACCAAAGCUUGUCAUACUAACCAUGCAGCAAACCUAUUAGGUUAAAAAAUAAACUUUGAAUACCAAAUAUCAUAAAACAUUCACAUAAGAUAAGAUUUCUCCUCAUUGAUAUGGAACAUUAAACAUCUCCAAAUCUAAAGAAAAA
rnacentral:misc_RNA from 1 species